CCGCAGCCCGACUUGAACGGAGCUCUUUUUCUUUUCGUUGCCUGAGCAUAGUCGAAGGCAACGAAAAGAAAAAAGCGGGAGUGGAAGGCGGAUAAAGC
rnacentral:misc_RNA from 1 species